rnacentral:rRNA from 1 species
UACGUAGGGUCCAAGCGUUAUCCGGAAUCACUGGGCGUAAAGCGUGCGUAGGUGGAUGUUUAAGUGAGAGGUUAAAUCGUGUGGCUCAACCAUAUCGAUGCCUCUCAUACUGGGCAUCUAGAGGACAGCAGAGGCAAGUGGAACUGGUAGUGUAGCAGUGAAAUGCGUAGAUAUUACCAAGAACACCAAUGGCGAAGGCAGCUUGCUGGGCUACUCCUGACACUGAGGUACGAAAGCCAGGGGAGCAAACGGG